rnacentral:rRNA from 1 species
CCCUUAGAUGUCCUGGGCCGCACGCGCGCUACACUGAUGCAUUCAACGAGUUUUACCUUGGCCGAGAGGCCUGGGCAAUCUUUUAAACCUGCAUCGUGAUAGGGAUAGAUUAUUGCAAUUAUCAAUCUUGAACGAGGAAUUCCUAGUAAACGCAAAUCAUCAAUUUGCAUUGAUUACGUCCCUGCCCUUUGUACACACCGCCCGUCGCACCUACCGAUUGAAUGAUCCGGUGAAGCCUCGGGAUUGUGGCCAGUUCACUUUAUUGGGAGUUGGCUGUGAGAACUUGUCUAAACCUUAUCAUUUUAGAGGAAGGUGAAGUCGUAACA